rnacentral:rRNA from 1 species
CGACCUGAGCUCAGGCAAGGCUACCA